UUUUCAGCCGCCGCGGUAAUACGGAGGGUGCGAGCGUUGUCCGGAAUCACUGGGCGUAAAGGGCGCGUAGGCGGUUCGGUAAGUUGCUGGUGAAAUCCCGGGGCUCAACUCCGGGGCUGCCGGCAAGACUGUCGGACUUGAGCACGGUAGAGGCAGAUGGAAUUCCCGGUGUAGCGGUGGAAUGCGUAGAUAUCGGGAAGAAUACCAGUGGCGAAGGCGUUCUGCUGGGCCGUUGCUGACGCUGAGGCGCGACAGCGUGGGGAGCAAACAGGAUUAGAAACCCGUGUAGUCC
rnacentral:rRNA from 1 species